CUCGGAUCAGGUAGGGAUACCCGCUGAACUUAAGCAUAUCAAUAAGCGGAGGAAAAGAAACCAACAGGGAUUGCCUCAGUAACGGCGAGUGAAGCGGCAACAGCUCAAAUA
rnacentral:rRNA from 1 species